rnacentral:lncRNA from 1 species
ACACUCUCCAUUUGGAGCAGAGCUUCUUCGGCAGCCCCAGGUCUCCCGGGAUCUUCCUCGGUGUCCUGCGGAGGCUCUGGCUCCAGCGUGGGCUCCAGCGCAGGCUGGGCUUCCGGCUGGGCUUCAGCGCUCCGGCCAGGCCCAAGGCGAGGCGGCUUGACCGGGGUGGGCGGUGGCGCUGCAGGGCCUUUCCGGCCCGAAAGGGCCCUUCGGAGGCUCUGUACCUUCUGCAAUCCGGUGCGCCGCAGCCGCUGGGCCCUGGACUCCACCGGCUCCUCGUCCGAGCUCUCUCCAACUUCGGCCUCCAGCUGCUCUGGGCCCAGCUCGGACUGGUCCGCCGGGCCCAAGGGCUCUGGUGCCUUCUGGAAAGCGCUGGCUGGGACUUCACCCUCCUCCUGCAUGUGACGGACACAGCACUGAUCCUGGCAGCUCCUUACCCCCAGCAGCCCGAAACUCACUCCUUAAUUACACAAGGGAAACCUUUUACCUCCGCAGCCAGAGUCUGGGGGGAAAGGCAGGCGUGGGAAGCACUAACUCCCUCUCUGGAUAUCUGGAACAAGGAGGACCUUAAACUUAACAAUAAAGCCAAUGAUGGUUCUACCAGUCUCCCCAAAGCCUCAAGUUUAAAAGCCAUAUGAACUGGCUGAUAGUGGAAAAUGGAAGCCAUGAGGAAAUCAGAUUAGAGUACUACCUGGUGAAGCCUGGAGGACCUACCAAGAAAAGCAAACUUGGAUCUUUGCAAGGUUAGAAGAACGAAUGGGAUCCAAGAAAAAGACUGGUCAUAUUCAACGGCUAAGAGCGUUGGAGAAGGCCUGUGGAGUCUCAGCAGGUCAGGUCCAUGACUCAUGAGUAGACACCUGUGUUUCUACUGCCUGGUGCCAUAAUCAUAAACAAGGAAGAAACUGAGGACAGGAGGGGCCAAACAAGUUACAGUUUCAUCCCUCCAGAGAGCCAACAGAGUAUUUUGCACGAAGUUGAAGCUAAACAGAGUAAUCAGCAAAUGCCUUUCCUUUCUCCUGCUGAUGUUUUGCCCGUACUCAGACCCCUUGACUUCUUAGCUUCUACCCAAAGUGAGCUUGUCAUCAAAGUUCUCCAAAAAUCUGCAGUGUUCUCUUGAGCAAAUCUGCUUCCAAGACUAUAGCGCUCUGAUGCAUUGAGAUGACAGCAAGCGGCAUUUUUCAGUCCUGUUACCCAUAUGGCUGCUACCACUGCAUCCUGUUAAAUAAUGUCUUCAACCCAAGAAACCUGCUUCCUAGGGAAGUUUCUCUCUCUCUGCAUUUGUUCCCACUAGAGAAUGACCAUCACCAGAUUCCUGAACUGAAAAUGCUGUUGACACUUUGGAAACUCGGGCCUCUAUUAAUAGGGUGACCAACUAUCCUGGUUUACCUUGAGUACAGGAUUUUCAAUGCUAAAACCAGAAAAACCAGGAUGGUUGGUCAUCUGCCUCAGACCUAAUAAAUACCAGUCAAUAAUUCAGCCAUGA